rnacentral:rRNA from 1 species
AGAGUUUGAUCCUGGCUCAGGAUAAACGCUGGCGGUGUGCCUUAUGCAUGCAAGUCGAGCGGUUCUUCCCGCAAGGGAAGGAUAGCGGCAAACGGGUGUGUAAUACGUAAGUAACCUACCCCUAAGUGUGGAACAACUCUGAGAAAUCGGGGCUAAUACCGCGUGUGGUUCUUAACCGCGAGGUGGAGAAUUAAAGCCUUCGGGCGCUUGGGGAGGGGCUUACGUCCUAUCAGGUAGUUGGUGGGGUAACGGCUUACCAAGCCGAUGACGGGUAGCUGGUCUGAGAGGAUGGUCAGCCACACUGGGACUGAGACACGGCCCAGACUCCUACGGGAGGCAGCAGCAAGGAAUAUUGUGCAAUGGGCGAAAGCCUGACACAGCGACACCGCGUGAGGGACGAAGGCCUUCGGGUCGCCAUGCUU